AGCUUGAAACAAAUAAAAUCUCAUAACAAACUCAAAAUUGGUGCAAGAUAGCUUCUAGUUCUGCCACGGAAUUGUCAACUUCAAUAGCAUUUUGAGAUUUCAUUCAACUGGAAGCACUUGGGGGAAUGCAUGAUACCUUCUAUCUGCAUAAAAUAUAUUUUGACUAUCGAGAGCAAUGGGAACAUAUAGGCCAGCUCAGGUUUAGUGGCGUACUAUUAAACAACUGAACUUCAUUCUCAUGAAAUUGACACAGGAGCCCCCAUAUCCUCCAUCUUUUGACGCUUGGCUUCAGGGUCUUCGCUGUUUUCAUGGUUGAGAUGGCCAUUCACCGCCUCAGGACCCAAAAGAGAGACGUGUUUGCUAGUAAUUUGACGACCUGCCCUAAUUUUUGGCCCCCAAUGCCUUUCAGGAUUUGGAAGGAA
rnacentral:misc_RNA from 1 species